UUUUAAUAUUCCACAAUCAACCUUUUUUCCCCCAAAUCCACCUGUUGCCCCCACCACUUACCCCAAAUCCUUUAACCCCAAAUCCAUACAGAAACCCCAAAUCCCAAAUCUCCGACUUAUAGUAGCAGCUCUGCCGGCUCCGGUGACGUGAUGGUAGCAGCAACAACAAUGUGGCGGCCACAAAAUCAGCUCUGCGAGCUACGGUGGUUGAGGAUGUGAUGUUCCUAAUCGGAUGAUCUGAGCAGCUAUGGAGGAGAGUCGGGUUUUUUGGCAACGGCAACACGAGUAGUGAGGGCGGUGGUUUUCUUGCAGUUCAACACAUCAGUGGUGACUUUUAUGAGGGUAACACCACACCUCCGAUGACGGCGGCUAGGGUUCCGCCGUGAUCUCAGAUGGUGUCGGCGAUAACAAAGGGUGUCUUUGUUACUUACACCAUAGUAGAUGGCCGAUCGGACUAUCGUGAACCUCGUCGGAACUGUCGCCUGGUGCAUCCUUUCUCCUAUUCCUAUUGACUCUCACGUGGUAUAAAGGAAUGUUUCAAAUUAAUAUAGGUAUACAAUUUGUUAAAUUUAUUUUUGUUUUAUUGUUAUUUAAAAUAUU
rnacentral:lncRNA from 1 species